GUUUCGCGUGCUGUCUUUUAUGACCCUUUGUUGCAUAGUAAAAUUGUAAGAAUCUUAUGCUGAACGUGCACUCCCUGUCCAUCGCUUAUACUUUAGCGCCUUCGCUAUUCGCAUCGGCAGGGGUCCUGAUAGGAUCUUUGUGUAGCUAGUUUGAGUUAAUAUAGAUGUUAAAUUUGCAUCAGAUGCAAACUGCUAGUGAAGUCUGUUUUAUUUUUCUAUUUCUUAUUUGGUCUUUGUGUAGCUAGUUUGAGUUAAUGUAGACGGUAUCGAGUAAGUAUCAAAUCCUUGUCAUCUUUGUAUCUGGGUUUUUCUCUGGUCCCUAAAAAAUUGAUUUUGGUCUUUUGAUUUGAUAAAUUGGUUAAGGUAGAAAUUGGGAAGGAAUGAUUUUGAUUAGUUUGAUUGAAUGAAAUUGGUUUCUGAAUUCACUUCUUCAAACCCUUCUCUCUGUUAUUUUGCUAGACAAACCUAAGAGGAGAUAGGAGAAGAAGAAGAUAUCAAAUUAAAUUUUUUAUUGCAAGGAUGAGAGUAGGCCUGAUAGGAAGUGGCACAUUGUUUUAGAAUCUCCAAAACGAAGAAGUCCUUAUGUGAAUGCUUUUGAGGAUCCUUUUGUCUUUACUGGCAUAGCUAAAGAAUCUUCCCUAACGGCAGCGAACAUGGAUGAUAACAGUAACUCGGAAGAAGAUGCAUUUGGGAGGCGGAAGUUUAACACCAGUAUGCUUCCCAACAAUGGCCCGCGAUAAAAUUUAUCAGUACUGGAUUUUGAGUGGAAUCUUUCAUUAUGAUAAAAUUGUUACUUUGAAAUUUGAAAUUAAUUCUUUAGAUAUUUUAUGCAAAAAAUAUAUAUAUUUGUUACUCAGUACUGGAUUUUGAGUGGA